UGGGGAAUAUUGCGCAAUGGGGGGAACCCUGACGCAGCCAUGNCGCGUGAAUGAAGAAGGCCUUCGGGUUGUAAAGUUCUUUCGGUAUUGAGGAAGGUUGAUGUGUUAAUAGCACAUCAAAUUGACGUUAAAUACAGAAGAAGCACCGGCUAACUCCGUGCCAGCAGCCGCGGUAAUACGGAGGGUGCGAGCGUUAAUCGGAAUAACUGGGCGUAAAGGGCAAGCAGGCGGUUAUUUAAGUGAGGUGUGAAAGCCCCCGGCCUAACCUGGGAAUUGCAUUUCAGACUGGGUAACUAGAGUACUUUAGGGAGGGGUAGAAUUCCACGUGUAGCGGUGAAAUGCGUAGAGAUGUGGAGGAAUACCGAAGGCGAAGCNAGCCCCUUGGGAAUGUACUGACGCUCAUGUGCGAAAGCGUGGGGAGCAAACAGGAUUAGAUACCCUGGUAGUCCACGCUGUAAACGCUGUCGAUUUGGGGGUUGGGGUUUAACUCUGGCGCCCGUAGCUAACGUGAUAAAUCGACCGCCUGGGGAGUACGGCCGCAAGUUA
rnacentral:rRNA from 1 species